GGCUGUUUCUGAGACCUGCCUGCUCAGGAGGUGCCUGGCUUCGCUUUCAGUUGCUGAGGUUUGGGUGUUUAGGUUGUACUCGGACCAGAGUUUCCAAGCUUGUCUUGCUCAUCAUGAAGAAUAGCAGAAGACACUGCUGUAGCUGCAUGGCUAAAAGGAUUUGAGAACAAAGUAGAGAGGAGACUUUUCUACUAGGACUACAUCACUUCUGGAGAAAAGCACUUGAGAGAAGAGGCUCAUCUGCAUCAAUCCCAUGUGUGUUCUAUUGGGCUGAGUAGAGAUACCAUAUCCUGCUUAGCUGAAAGAGAUAAGAGCACUGUUCCUCCUGUUACAUUUAUCAUACCUCUCUAUCAUGUUCCAUGAAUGCAGUAGUGAAAAUGCUUUUGGUUCCUAGCUUAUUAGUAUUUGCAGCAGCAGAAACAAGUACAUCUUGGAAGUGCAUAGCAUUCCCAGAGGAUUUUUAGAUAAAAUUGUUGUGAGGAUAUGUACAUGCUGUUCUAUAGUAACCACCCAUAAUUCCUCCUCAGCCAUCUGUCAACUAAUUUGCAGAUAGAUCCUGAAGCACUUGCUAGAGAUUAGGGGAAGAUUGAGAGGAAAGUGUUAGAUGUAGGCCUAUCUCCUGCCCAGUGAGCCUUUGAAAACUGUGUGUAGUGUCCAAGGUCAGAGCAAAGGUGACUUUGGCAGGCAGCUAUCCAUAUCCACCUCCUAUGGAAAUUCAUAACCUUAAGGUGAAGCUUUGGUGUCUUUGUGCUGAUCUCUUAGGAGGCUUGUUUGUGAGCCUCAGUUUUCACUGCUAGAUUUAAUAUAGGAACUAGAAGCUAUAGCUGGUUUAUGGAUGUUAACUACAGGACAACAUUGCUCUAAGAAUAGUUUUGGUGAUUCAGACCAAGCUAUUUAGGACCAGUGUGAAAGACUAGCAUCCUUUAAUCUGCAUGUCAGUACUGAAUGUGCAGAGAUGGUAUUUAGGCAAAGUCAUGGAAGAGGGGAAAAAAAAAAAAUCAUGUAAGCCUUUAAUAUUCACAACCUUUUAUGGCAAUACGUUUCAGUGAAGUUAUAGAUAGUGUCAAAAAAUGCUUUCUGAAUUUUUAAACCUUCUGUGAUAAUAGGAAAAAAUAAAAGACAUGCAGUGAAAUUAUAAAAACUGGUUGUGCCUUGUUGAAGCUGUUCAUGGUGCUACAUUCUCAUAUCCUCUUUUCUCCAGAUGGCAUGUUCCUAGACUAUAAUCCAGCCUCAUACAGGAAUUGAUACAUGUCUUUCAUCCUUGUUGCUUGUCCAUUACCGACUUAGUUCCAUUAUACUCAUUUUGAAAUAAGGAGAACUGGAAAGGCUGAGGAUAAGAUUUGCUCCAUGAAUUUAUACAGAAAACAUUAAUAUGUGAUUUUGUUUUCUGUUGUUCUCUAUUCCUCACAGCAUUUUUCAGAUCACUUCUGAAUACUUUGAAUAGUACAUGUUGCAACACAGGUCCAUCUGGGACCACACUAGUAAACUUCUUUUAUCAUGAAAAAUUGCUUUCCUUCCUACUUUGUUGCUUAUCUUUUAGUCAGUUAUUAAUGCUUGAAGGCUGUUGCCUUUUAUCUGCAACAGCUAUACUUGUUUAAGAGCCUUUGAGAUAUCUUGACAUGACUCUCUGAAAAUCUGAGUUUACUUUUAUUCUUGUCCACAUGCUGUAUGACUCGUUCAA